ensembl:lincRNA Gm9916 predicted gene 9916
UUCUUUGGGACACUUCUCCAGCGCUGCCUUCCCUACCUCUGCCUUUGGAAUGAGUCUCAAACAUCAACAAAAAUCAAGAUAUGUUCUCAGUCUCGGGUCUGCAGCAGAGUGAUGAGAGGAAGAGAAAAUCCUCCACUCUUCUUGUCUGUUUAUAAUGUUAAUGGACCAUAAAGCAAUGUGGAUGGGUCCCCUCCUAGCGAGGAGCAAGCAAUCGCUGGCUCGAUCCCUUCCAUCACGCCGGGGCAUUCCCGGGGCAAGCGGACUUAGCAGGAGUUUAAGGUGUUCCUUGGAGCCGGAAAAUAUGGUCCAUCGUGGUGGAAGGCAAGGGCAGAGGCUCGAGAACUCAACCCUAGCUGUGAGCGGACCUCUUGGCUGUGCAGUUUGCUUUUCUUACUCUUUGGAGGCUGCGGGUUCCUUGGGUGCUUCCAAGGUGGGAGGAGAAAGCCUGGGAAGAGAGUGAUUCAGGUUCCCAGAAGGUUACCAAGGCGGAUAGACUUUAAGACCAGUUUUCCUCCCUUGCGCGUUGCCGGUUGAUUUUGCUUGAGGGAAUGGCUGCGAAGAAGACUGAAUUCCAGAGAAGUCGAAGCUGCUGGAGAAAUGAAAGCAUCUCUUUCUUAUGGGGUUCCCGGGACCCAUUCUAAGCUCAGCAGCGCCCAGACACUUUCUUCCUCUGGAGUAUUUGUCAUUCACCUUUCAGGACUUGAGGUCUCUCUACUGGGUCCUUGCCUUGAAGAGCAAGCUGAACCCCCUGAGAAACUGCAAGAACCCUGGAAAAACAGCCUUUCCCAUUUUAGGUCUUUCCCUUUCUUCCAGCGCUAGAUCUAUAAUGAUAGAUCCCCAUGCCAGACCUCUCUUUUCCUCUCCCUGUCCUUAUGUGUCUGCCCCCUGAAUGAGUCCCAAGCAAUCUAGACUGAUAGCACUUGUAUUGUAGCUAUGUUGAUAAGAGGGGAAACGGGUGUGGUCCUGUUCAGACUCCUGGGAAUGAGCCCAUUUAUCACAAUGGGGUGAAGAAGCAAAAAGAAGCUGUCUUUGCAGGCAACAUUCUGUCACUACUAAGAAAACUAACUAUGUAACUAACAUUCUUUCCUUCAUUGUUCCAAGAACUGCCUUUCUUAGGGAUCCAUCAGUUGGUGAUUAAGGGCUUUUAAAUAUUGUGCUCGUUAAGUAUCUAACCACAUUCAGUGUGUCUAUGGGUGCUGUUGUUUCCCUGGAAAUUAAAAAAGUAGAG